AGGUAGGGAUACCCGCUGAACUUAAGCAUAUCAAUAAGCGGAGGAACAG
rnacentral:rRNA from 1 species